rnacentral:rRNA from 1 species
GAUGAACGCUAGCUACAGGCUUAACACAUGCAAGUCGAGGGACCGGCGCACGGGUGAGUAACACGUAUCCAACCUGCCCUUUACUCGGGGAUAGCCUUUCGAAAGAAAGAUUAAUACCCGAUAUAAAGGAUGGGGAUGCGGUCCAUUUGGUUGUUGGUGAGGUAACGGCUCACCAAGCCUUCGAUGGUUAGGGGUUCUGAGAGGAAGGUCCCCCAGAUUUGAACUGAGACACGGUCCAAACUCCUACGGGAGGCAGCAGUGAGGAAUAUUGGUCAAUGGGCGCUAGCCUGAACCAGCCAAGUGGCGUGAAGGAUGAAGGCUUAUGGGUCGUAAACUUCUUUUAUAUAAGAAUAGGGAAUAGAAGAAUAAGGAUCGGCUAACUCCGUGCCAGCCGCCGCGGUAAUAG